GCCAUCCCCGGCAACGAGUUCCAAUGAUUCCUUGGAGCCAGCCCCGAUUCUCCCUCCUCUUCCUCUUCCUGACCUUCUCCCGCUUGUUUUCCCUCCGAGUGAGGCCGUAAAUUUAAACCCUCCGCGAGGAAAACAACAUCUGUUUACCCUCCUCUGCUGCGGCUCGAGGGGAGGAGGAGGGAAAAUGCACCUGAAUGGCUCCUCCGGGACUUAUUUUGUUAUUUAUCCCCAGGGAAAAAUCCAUCCCCAGCCCCUCCAGACGAGGUUCCCCCUCCCCAGGCGGAGGUGGAGAAGGGACAACCCUCAUGAAGGAAAAAAAUCCCCAUUUCCCCAGGUUUUAUUCCCCGAAAAGCGCAGGAUUUAAAAGCUAAACUCCCAGAACACCUUUGCUGAUGAGGUGUGAAUUUAAGAGGGUUCAAAUAAAACCCGAUAAAAAACGCGAUGGGCAGAAGCUGCCGGAGGAUUCCCGCAUCCCCCAGGGAUGGAGAACUGAGGAAGGGAAAAGGUUCCUGCCGGGAUCUCCCAGCGGAGCUCGCACAUUCCCGGCGAAACUUCAAAUCCCCCGGCGGGGAGGUGCUGCUGAGCACCAAAUAAAUUAUGGUUAAUUGGGUGAAAACAUCGCAGCGCCUUUGUUUCACCGCCAGCUGCCAGGUGUGGGGACAGCGGUGGCACCAGAGGGGACCUGAGCCGUGCCCGUUGUCACCACAGCCGCCGGUCCCGCUCUGAAAUGUCACAUCAAUUAAGAGCUGGAUGUUUAAUUAAAUCCCAUUUCCUCCAUUCCCUUCCUUCGUCCUUUCCCUCCACUGCCGGCUCCAAGUUCGGAGUAAUAUUUAAAAAAAAAGCCCCCAAAUUCCCCUGGAAUAUGAACCGUAAUGAGAUCAACUUAAUUGAACGAUUUUACGAUGUCAUCCUCAUUUGCCUUUUUAAUUAGGUCCUUCUUCCAUACCGACAGGAAUCCGCGGGAUUGGGAACUUCCAGGAGCGGCUUUGUUAGGGAGAGCAUCCAGAGCUGGAAUUACAGGAGGAGCUGGAGCAGCUCUGAGGGAGCGACUGAUGCCCUGGGGGGCAAAAUUCCGGUGGUUCUGGAGUUUUUGGGGUGGCAGGAGGAGGUGACACUGAGCCCUGUGUCCCUCCUGCUGGGUGCUGUCCCUUCCUCCCGGCUGGAAAUGAAUUGCACUUAGGAAACAACCCGAUAAAAUCGAGAUAAAAUGGAAAUUCAGAGGAUCAAAUGAAAAAUAAAAAUGAAGAGGAUAAAAGGUGAGCGAGCUGUGGCUUUGGGAGGCACUGGGGACUCAUGGCACGUUGGGGACAGGGUGUGACAGCCCGGGACAGCACCGCAGGUGACACAGGGACUGUCACCAAGCCCUCCCUGGCACCGUAAGGACCAGGAUCCGGAGCAUCCCUUCCCUGACCCCUGCUGGGACCCGCUCGGGCACUGCUGACAACACCAAACACCACUUUGAGCACGCCCUGUCCCAUCCCUGCCAUAAAAAUCCAGGAAUUCGGCUCUUUUUCCCCAAUCCGCCUUUUCCGGGGAUCAGAGAAAUCCCUGGAAGGGGAGGGAGAAGAGACACCGCUGCUCAAAGGCACAAAAAUCCAGGAAUUCGGCUCUUUUUUCCCAAUCUGCCUUUUCCGGGGAUCAGAGAAAUCCCUGGAAGGGCAGGGAGAAGAGACACCACUGCUCAAAGGCACAAAAAUCCAGGAAUUCGGCUCUUUUUUCCCAAUCUGCCUUUUCCAGGGAUCGGAGAAAUCCCUGGAAGGGGAGGGAGGAAAGACACCGCCGCUCAAAGCAUCGCGUUCCUCGUGGGACAAUCAGCACCCAGGCGCUUCCCACGGGAUCCGUGAGCUUCCAGAACUCCUGAAAACUUGGAAUUGGGGCACGGCCGGGUCGCUGAGAGGAUUUUCCCUGCGAUUUCCUCGCUCCUCGAGCAGCUCUGGGACCCCCGGCAGCGAUCGCGGGGAGUAAUUAAACCUCUCCAGCUCCUCUCCAGCUCCUCUCCAGCUCCUCUCCAGCUCCUCUUCCUCGCCUCCUCAGCCCGGAGAAGUUUUGACAAGCUGCCUGAGGACUCACGGUGUAGGACUGAAGGGAGUUUUGGAGUCUGAGAGGAGCCACGCAGGUGAUGAAAUCCACGUGGGAAAUGUUUGAAAUCCUCGUUUCCAACCCAAAACAUCAUUAGCUAAAAUCCCGUGGAGAUGGAGGAGGGAAAAAAAAAAAAAUAAAAAAAUUCUCGGUCCUUAAAAAUGCAAAUAACAUGGGCUGCUGAAUGUCCUUGUUUGUCGGUAAUUGCAAAAUUCUUCGGCUCAAUCAGCCAAAGAUAAACUGUGUUAUUUAGGAGCAAUUUGAAGGCAGACGGAUGGAAAACAAUGGGCCGGAUUGGGCUCAGGAAUGACGCCAGGAUCCCGCCGGGAUCAGCUGGGCCCUGCGGGAUUCCCAACCCUUGGAACUGCAUCCGAGGCAGCGCCCAGGGGAUGCCCUGGACUGCAGGGUGGAAUAUCCUGGAUAUUCCCAAUUGGAAGGGUCCCACAAGGAUCUUGGAGUCCCAGCUCCUGGCCCUGCACAGCCAAGCCCAAAAAUCCCACCCUGAGCAAUUCCUGGGGAUUCCAGCAGAUGUUUCCCUACAGAAUUCCCGAAUUUCUUCUUCCAGCAGCCUCCUGGUGGAGGCACAGCCUGGGUGGGCUGCAUCCCUGGAGUUUAUUUAAUUUUUAGGGGAGAGGAGGCAGAGGGCUCAAGGAGCAGGAGCAGCAUCCAGGGAUUUAUAAAGGAUGUUCUGGGAUGUUCUCUUUUCCUUGGAUGUUCUCUUUUCCCUGGGUUUUCACUUUCCCUUGGUGCUCAGCGUUCCCUGGUUUCUCUCCCUUCCUUGGAUGUUCUUCCUCCCCGGGAUUCUCUCUCUUCCCUGGAUUCUCUCCCUCCCCUGGAUGUUCUCUUUUCCCUGGCUUCUCACCUUUUCCAGGCUAUUUUCCCUUCCUUGGAUGCUCUCCCUUCUCUGGAUUCUCUCCCUUCCUUGGAUGGAUUGUUCUUCCUUGCAUGGAAUCUCUUCUUUGGGUUCCCCCUUCCCUUGGUGCCAUUUCUUUUCUGGAUCCUCUUCUUUCCCUGGAUCCUCUUCUUUCCCUGGAUCCUCUCCCUCCCUGGAUC